rnacentral:rRNA from 1 species
AGCGAACGCUGGCGGCAGGCCUAACACAUGCAAGUCGAACGAAGCCUUCGGGCUUAGUGGCGCACGGGUGCGUAACGCGUGGGAAUCUGCCCUUGGGUUCGGAAUAACAGUUAGAAAUGACUGCUAAUACCGGAUGAUGUCUUCGGACCAAAGAUUUAUCGCCCAAGGAUGAGCCCGCGUCGGAUUAGCUAGUUGGUGAGGUAAAGGCUCACCAAGGCGACGAUCCGUAGCUGGUCUGAGAGGAUGAUCAGCCACACUGGGACUGAGACACAGCCCAGACUCCUACGGGAGGCAGCAGUGGGGAAUAUUGGACAAUGGGCGAAAGCCUGAUCCAGCAAUGCCGCGUGAGUGAUGAAGGCCUUAGGGUUGUAAAGCUCUUUUACCCGGGAUGAUAAUGACAGUACCGGGAGAAUAAGCCCCGGCUAACUCCGUGCCAGCAGCCGCUGUAAUAC